rnacentral:rRNA from 1 species
GAUGAACGCUGGCGGCGUGCCUAAUACAUGCAAGUCGAGCGAACGGAUGAGAAGCUUGCUUCUCUGAUGUUAGCGGCGGACGGGUGAGUAACACGUGGAUAACCUACCUAUAAGACUGGGAUAACUUCGGGAAACCGGAGCUAAUACCGGAUAAUAUUUUGAACCGCAUGGUUCAAAAGUGAAAGACGGUCUUGCUGUCACUUAUAGAUGGAUCCGCGCUGCAUUAGCUAGUUGGUAAGGUAACGGCUUACCAAGGCAACGAUGCAUAGCCGACCUGAGAGGGUGAUCGGCCACACUGGAACUGAGACACGGUCCUGACUCCUACGGGAGGCAGCAGUAGGGAAUCUUCCGCAAUGGGCGAAAGCCUGACGGAGCAACGCCGCGUGAGUGAUGAAGGUCUUCGGAUCGUAAAACUCUGUUAUUAGGGAAGAACAUAUGUGUAAGUAACUGUGCACAUCUUGGCGGUACCUAAUCAGAAAGCCACGGCUAACUACGUG